rnacentral:rRNA from 1 species
UACGUAGGGUGCAAGCGUUGUCCGGAAUUAUUGGGCGUAAAGAGCUUGUAGGCGGUUUGUCGCGUCUGCUGUGAAAUUUCGGGGCUCAACCCCGAACUUGCAGUGGGUACGGGCAGACUAGAGUGUGGUAGGGGGAGACUGGAAUUCCUGGUGUAGCGGUGAAAUGCGUAGAUAUCUGGAGGAACACCGGUGGCGAAGGCGGCAUCCUGGACCAAUAUUGACGCUGAGGAGCGAAAGCCAGGGGAGCAAACGGG